AAGGGACUGGCAGCAGACCAGACGGAGGCCCUUUUUGUUGGGGAUGCCAUCCUGUCUGUGAAUGGUGAAGAUUUGUCCUCUGCCACCCACGAUGAAGCGGUACAGGCCCUCAAGAAGACAGGCAAGGAGGUUGUGUUGGAGGGUAAGUACUGGGGUACAGAACCCAGAGGCUGAGGAGGGCUGGUUUAAUUUCUUUCAACCUUCCCCAAGUCCCCAAGUGGCUCCAGUCUGGCCUUAAGGGCAUGUGGGCAUGAAAAUAGAAUCAGGACCUACCUGGGGUCAGUGUGGGCUGCUGGAAGGAGAGCAGGCACAGCGCUAAGGAGUUCUGGUUUGUAUCUCUUGCUUCUAGCCCACUAGUAGUGUGGUCUUGGACAAAUCACUUCAUUUCUAAGAACCUUAAUUUCCUCUUUUAAUGGAGACAUAACUCCCAGCUCUCUGGGUUGUGACCAAGACAUGCUACCCAUUGAGUGCUAAGCCAAAGAAGAGAGUGAGGCCCCAGAAAGAAAAACUAAGAUUCUUGGCUGAAGAGCUACAGGAGCUUUUUAACCCCAGGCUCUUUUGGCAUCCAGGGACCCUCAGAUCCUGAGAUCUGGCCAGUGUGUAGUGUGUGUCACAUCCAGUGAAGAUCAGAGAAGUGCUUUGAAGAGAACCUGACUUGGGUGGCUCUCUGAAAAGCUGUCCAUGUGUGGUCCUGAGGAGCCUCACUUUCUUUGGCUCUCAGUUGCUCCGUUGUCCCCCCAACCCCAAAGGCCUCCUGAUGUGGUUAUCUGCCGUUUGACACUCUCAGGAGAUUUCUGCUUUGCUCAGCCUUUCCCUCGAACUCUGUGUACUGUGUCAGCUCCAGCCUGUAGGGGCCUGAGGAAUGUAUCUUUGGCUUCUUGCCCAGAAUAGGAACGGAGAGAUCGGGGAGGCUGGCGGACAAUGCCAUGACUAGCAAAGCUGCUGAGGUCAGUCCCAGACCCCAAUCCUGCCGGCUUUCUCCAAGGGUCUUUAAGAUGACACAGAUGUAAAGAGGCUUUGGGACCCUGGGUGACCUUUGCCACUUAUAAAGAUUAAUUUUAAUCUUAUUUGAAUGGGUGUUUUUGCCUGCCUGUAUAUCUGUUCACUCUGUGUGUGAAUUGUACCUGGAUCUUCUUUUGACCCACUCUUAGCCACUGAGCUAUUGCCUCGGACCCUCACCUUUGCCAUUCCUGUGGUCCAAGAACUCAAUUCCUGUUCAGUUUAGUUUUAUUUUAUAUUUUGGCAUAUUUAUAACUAGUAUUGAUACAUUCUAUUUAUCUCACUGUGUAUAGUGGUUUUGUUUUGUCUGGUUUGGUUUGGAUAGAGUCUCAUAUAGCUCAGGUUGGCCUUGAACUCCUUAUGUAACUGAGGGUGAUUUUGAAAUGCUCUUCCUCCAUCCACCUCCUAAGUGCUGGGUUACAGGUAUGUACUACUGUGCCUGGUGUAUGUAAUAUAUCUAUAGCUGUAUCUGUGUAUAUAUAUAUGUAACCAGUUACACACACACACACACACACACACACACUCACAAAGCAGAAGCAGAAAGAUUUUUGUGAGGUCAAGGGCAGCCUGUUUUACCUAGGGAGUUCCAGGUCAACUAGAGCUACAUAGUGAGACUCUUUCU
rnacentral:lncRNA from 1 species